UCUAAGUAUAGAUUUUUCUGAAUACUUUGUUUAAAGGGUUUACAGACACAGAUGACUUUCAGAAGGCCGACAGAUGCCUAUAUGAGUGACAUGGGCCACACCUAGGGAAGAAGGUAAUCCAGCUCUUGCAACUGUGGUGGAGAGUCUUUUGCCCUUUAGGGUGCUAUCACUCAGCUCAGACCAACUGUAAUGCACAGGAGCCUGAUACCUGACAAGGCGAGCACCAGAGGUGACCCAAGUAGAAGCCCAGAACACUAGUUUUGGUCCCAACCCUGCUUUCAAUACCUAAGGAAAACGCUGCCCAGUUCUGGAACUCCCCACAGGCUAUACCCUGCAUGGUUUGUCUUUUCAGAUAAACUCCUCCGUGCAUGUGGCAUGGCCAGGGAGGAAAGGAGAAUAAGCCAAGAGUCAAGACAACCUGAGUUCUGGUCUUGUGCCUGCCAUGGGAUUUCUUUUUUUCUUUUUUCUU
rnacentral:lncRNA from 1 species